AUUGAACGCUGGCGGCAGGCCUAACACAUGCAAGUCGAACGGUAACAGAAAGCAGCUUGCUGCUUUGCUGACGAGUGGCGGACGGGUGAGUAAUGUCUGGGAAACUGCCUGAUGGAGGGGGAUAACUACUGGAAACGGUAGCUAAUACCGCAUAACGUCGCAAGACCAAAGAGGGGGACCUUCGGGCCUCUUGCCAUCGGAUGUGCCCAGAUGGGAUUAGCUAGUAGGUGGGGUAACGGCUCACCUAGGCGACGAUCCCUAGCUGGUCUGAGAGGAUGACCAGCCACACUGGAACUGAGACACGGUCCAGACUCCUACGGGAGGCAGCAGUGGGGAAUAUUGCACAAUGGGCGCAAGCCUGAUGCAGCCAUGCCGCGUGUAUGAAGAAGGCCUUCGGGUUGUAAAGUACUUUCAGCGGGGAGGAAGGGAGUAAAGUUAAUACCUUUGCUCAUUGACGGUACCCGCAGAAGAAGCACCGGCUAACUCCGUG
rnacentral:rRNA from 1 species